rnacentral:rRNA from 1 species
UGGCAAUUGGAAUGAGAACGAUGUAAACACCCUAUCGAGGACCAAUUGGAGGGCAAGUCUGGUGCCAGCAGCCGCGGUAAUUCCAGCUCCAAUAGCGUAUAUUAAAGUUGUUGCAGUUAAAAAGCUCGUAGUUGAAUUUCUGGCAAGAGCAACCGGUCCUUCACUUGGUGUUGGUACUUGUGUUGUCUCUGGCCAUCCUUGGGGAGAGCCUGUUUGGCAUUAAGUUGUCGGGCAGGGGAUACCCAUCGUUUACUGUGAAAAAAUUAGAGUGUUUAAAGCAGGCUUAUGCCGUUGAAUAUAUUAGCAUGGAAUAAUAAGAUAGGACUUCGGAACUAUUUUGUUGGUUUGCGUUACGAAGUAAUGAUUAAUAGGGACAGUUGGGGGUAUUCGUAUUUCGUUGUCAGAGGUGAAAUUCUUGGAUUUCCGAAAGACGAACUACUGCGAAAGCAUUUACCAAGGAUGUUUUCAUUAAUCAAGAACGAAAGUUAGGGGAUCGAAGAUGAUUAGAUACCAUCGUAGUCUUAACCAUAAACUAUGCCGUCUAGGGAUCGGCGGUCGCU